rnacentral:tRNA from 1 species
GCCCCCAUAGCCCAAUUGGCAGAGGCAGCGGACUUAAAAUCCGCGUGUUCCGGGUUCGAGUCCCGGUGGGGGCACCA